rnacentral:rRNA from 1 species
UACGAAGGGGGCUAGCGUUGCUCGGAAUCACUGGGCGUAAAGCGCACGUAGGCGGCUCUCUAAGUCAGGGGUGAAAUCCUGGAGCUCAACUCCAGAACUGCCUUUGAUACUGGAGAGCUCGAGUCCGGAAGAGGUGAGUGGAACUCCGAGUGUAGAGGUGAAAUUCGUAGAUAUUCGGAAGAACACCAGUGGCGAAGGCGGCUCACUGGUCCGGUACUGACGCUGAGGUGCGAAAGCGUGGGGAGCAAACAGG